AUUGAACGCUGGCGGCAUGCUUUACACAUGCAAGUCGAACGGUAACAGGCCUUCGGGUGCUGACGAGUGGCGAACGGGUGAGUAAUGCAUCGGAACGUGCCCAGAGGUGGGGGAUAACGCAGCGAAAGCUGUGCUAAUACCGCAUGUGAUCUGAGGAUGAAAGCGGGGGACCAGGCAGCAAUGUUUGGCCUCGCGCCUUUGGAGCGGCCGAUGUCAGAUUAGGUAGUUGGUGGGGUAAAGGCCUACCAAGCCGACGAUCUGUAGCUGGUCUGAGAGGACGACCAGCCACACUGGGACUGAGACACGGCCGAGACUCCUACGGGAGGCAGCAGUGGGGAAUUUUGGACAAUGGGCGCAAGCCUGAUCCAGCAAUGCCGCGUGCGGGAAGAAGGCCUUCGGGUUGUAAACCGCUUUUGUACGGAACGAAAAGGCUCUGGCUAAUACCUGGGGCUGAUGACGGUACCGUAAGAAUAAGCACCGGCUAACUACGUG
rnacentral:rRNA from 1 species